UCAAGCGUGAGGUAAGAGCAUUUGGUGGAUGCCUUGGCAUGUGCAGGCGAUGAAGGACGUGGCACGCUGCGAUAAGCGUCGGGGAGAUGUGAGCAAUCUUUGAUCCGGCGAUUUCCGAAUGGGGAAACCCACCCUCACCAUUUCCUUUCGAUUGUUUUCGGACAGUCGGAAAGAGGUGGAUAGGGUAUCACCAGACUGAAUACAUAGGUUUGGUGAAGCGAACCCGGGGAACUGAAACAUCUCAGUACCCGGAGGAAAAGACAUCAACAGAGAUUCCCGUAGUAGUGGCGAGCGAACCGGGACCAGGCCAGUGCCUUCAUUUCAACUAGCAAAACACUUUGGAAAGAGUGGCCAUAGCGGGUGACAGCCCCGUAUGCGAAAGUGAUGAUGAAGGACUCGAGUAGGGCGGGACACGUGAAAUCCUGUCUGAACAUGGGGGGACCACCCUCCAAGCCUAAAUACUCGCACAUGACCGAUAGCGAACACAGUACCGUGAGGGAAAGGUGAAAAGCACCCCGAUUAGGGGAGUGAAACAGUACCUGAAACCGGAUGCUUACAAGCAGUUGGAGCCCCAUAGGGGGUGACAGCGUACCUCUUGCAUAAUGGGUCAGUGACUUAAUCUACCAUGCAAGCUUAAGCCGUUAGGUGUAGGCGCAGCGAAAGCGAGUCUGAAUAGGGCGACUGAGUAUGAUGGAUUAGACCCGAACCCCGGCGAUCUAGGCAUGGCCAGGUUGAAGGUGCAGUAACAUGCACUGGAGGACCGAACCGGUGAAUGUUGAAAAAUUCUCGGAUGAGCUGUGUUUAGGGGUGAAAGGCCAAUCAAGCCGGGAAAUAGCUGGUUCUCCGCGAAAUCUAUUGAGGUAGAGCGUCGGAUGUAUGCCGAUGGGGGUAGAGCACUGGAUGGGCUAGGGCUGCGCGAGCGGUACCAAACCUAACCAAACUCCGAAUACCAUCGAGUCUUAUCCGGCAGACAGACGGCGGGUGCUAAGGUCCGUCGUCAAAAGGGAAACAGCCCUAACCUACAGCUAAGGUCCCCAAGUCAUAUCUAAGUGGGAAAGCAUGUGGGAAUCCCAAAACAACCAGGAGGUUGGCUUAGAAGCAGCCAUCCUUUAAAGAAAGCGUAACAGCUCACUGGUCUAAACAAGGGUUCCUGCGGCGAAGAUGUAACGGGGCUAAAGAUAUGCACCGAAGCUUAGGGUUCAGAAUUUAUUCUGAGCGGUAGCGGAGCGUUCCGUAAGCGAGUGAAGGCGAAGGGUAACCGACGCUGGACGUAUCGGAAGUGCGAAUGCUGACAUGAGUAGCGACAAACAGGGUGAGAUGCCCUGUCGCCGAAAGACCAAGGGUUCCUGCGCAACGCUAAUCGGCGCAGGGUUAGCCGGCCCCUAAGACGAGCCCGAAGGGGGUAGUCGAUGGGAACCACGUAAAUAUUCGUGGGCCUGAAGAUGUGUGACGGAUCGUGGAAGUUGUUUUCUCUUAUUGGAUUGAGAGGGCAGCCAAGCGGUUCCAGGAAAUAGCCUCUUCACUAUAGACCGUACCCGAAACCGACACAGGUGGUCAGGUAGAGUAUACCAAGGCGCUUGAGAGAAGUAUCCUGAAGGAACUCGGCAAAUUGCCUCCGUACCUUCGGAAGAAGGAGGCCCCAUAUCGACGCAAGUCUUUGUGGGGGGCACAGGCCAGGGGGUAGCGACUGUUUAGCAAAAACACAGCACUCUGCUAAGUCGGCUUCAAGACGACGUAUAGGGUGUGACGCCUGCCCGGUGCUCGAAGGUUAAGAGGAGGAGUGCAAGCUCCGAAUUGAAGCCCGAGUAAACGGCGGCCGUAACUAUAACGGUCCUAAGGUAGCGAAAUUCCUUGUCGGGUAAGUUCCGACCUGCACGAAUGGCGUAACGACUUCCCC
rnacentral:rRNA from 1 species